rnacentral:rRNA from 1 species
UACGGGGGGGGCAAGCGUUGUUCGGAAUUACUGGGCGUAAAGGGCCAGUAGGCGGCCAACUAAGUCGGAUGUGAAAUCCCCAGGCUUAACCUGGGAACUGCGUCUGAUACUGGAUGGCUUGAGUUCGGGAGAGGGAUGCGGAAUUCCAGGUGUAGCGGUGAAAUGCGUAGAUAUCUGGAGGAACACCGGUGGCGAAGGCGGCAUCCUGGACCGACACUGACGCUGAGGAGCGAAAGCCAGGGGAGCAAACGGG